CGUAGAAGCUUUCUUUUUCCUGGCUCAGAGGAAGUUCAAGAUGCUGCCACUUCAUGAGCAGGUGGCCUCACUGAUUGACCUUUGCGAGUACCACCUGUCCCUGCUGGAUGAAAAACGCCUGGAAGCACCAACUGGGGCAAAUCUGUUGUAUUUGGGGCACAGGACACAAUCGAUCCCAAGGCCCGGAGCUGUGGAGAGGAAGCCGAGUGUUAGGAUCUGCUGCCGGGGCCUCCACGCGCCCACCGGGAAAAGCCUGAGAACAUCGUGUUUAUUUCCUGCCGCCCGUUCCGAGAGAAGGAAGUGGAAAUAUCAAGUAGGCAUCUGCGAAUCUCCCAUCCCAGUCAUGUGCUACAUGGGUGUAGUGAACAGAUUAACCUCAUUUAGUUCAUUAGCUUGCCUGUUGCUGCAAUAUUUGGUUUGUUAUUAAUUAAGAAAAAAUUAAUUAAGAAGUAA
rnacentral:lncRNA from 1 species